rnacentral:rRNA from 1 species
UACGUAGGGUGCAAGCGUUGUCCGGAAUCAUUGGGCGUAAAGCGCGCGUAGGCGGCCCGGUAAGUCCGUUGUAAAAGUCGAAGGCUCAACCUUCGAAAGCCGAUGGAUACUGCCGGGCUAGAGUACGGAAGAGGCGAGUAGAAUUCCUGGUGUAGCGGUGGAAUGCGCAGAUAUCAGGAGGAAUACCCAUAGCGAAGGCAGCUCGCUGGGACGUUACUGACGCUGAGGAGCGAAAGCGUGGGGAGCGAACAGG